rnacentral:rRNA from 1 species
UACAGAGGGUGCGAGCGUUAAUCGGAAUUACUGGGCGUAAAGCGCACGUAGGUGGCGACGUAAGUCGGGUGUGAAAGCCCCGGGCUCAACCUGGGAAUUGCAUUCGAGACUGCAUUGCUGGAGUACGGAAGAGGAAGGCGGAAUUCCCGGUGUAGCGGUGAAAUGCGUAGAUAUCCGGAGGAACACCGGUGGCGAAGGCGGCUUCCUGGACCGACACUGACGCUGGAGGCGCGAAAGCGUGGGGAGCGAACAGG